rnacentral:rRNA from 1 species
CUGGAGGACAGGUGCUGCAUGGCUGUCGUCAGCUCGUGUCGUGAGAUGUUCGGGUUAAGUACCCGCAACGAGCGCAACCCUUGCCUUUAGUUGCCAGCAGUUCGGCUGGGCACUCUAAAGGGACUGCCGGUGUUAAACCGGAGGAAGGUGGGGAUGACGUCAAGUCCUCAUGGCCUUUAUGACCAGGGCUACACACGUACUACAAUGGCCGAUACAAAGGGCAGCGACACUGCGAGGUGAAGCCAAUCCCGUAAAAUCGGUCUCAGUCCGGAUUGGAGUCUGCAACUCGACUCCAUGAAGUUGGAAUCGCUAGUAAUCGUGGAUCAGCAUGCCACGGUGAAUACGUUCCCGGGCCUU